rnacentral:piRNA from 1 species
AAAAUGGGCACCUACUGAUGGCAGU